CCUGCCCUUGGGACGCAGAGCAGCUCCAGAGGCCAACGGUGGGAUAUAGGGAACAAUGAGCCUUAAUGGAGGAAUUACUUGGAUCAUCUUGGAAGGGCAAUACCCUAUUUCACCGGGCAGCUCCAGAAGCAGAAGGGAUUCAUUUCCUAUGGGGGUUGGAUACAGGGGGAGGGCAGCCUGCGGGUGUCCUGCACUGGGUUUCUCCCAGUCUGUGCUGAUGUGGAUGCAGGAGGAUGCUGUCGCUGCAGGAUGCAGGGGGGAGCCGGGCUGUGGGUGUCAGAGAGGACAGUUUAUGGUGGAGCUUCUUUUAACCAUAGUAAUGGAUGGAUUUAAGCUCUGGUUUCUGCUGUACAGGGUGUAAAACCCUUCUGUGGACUGCAGGGGUUUGUGCCAGCACCGGAGCUUUGGAUCUGCAGGACCCCAGCACCAUCCCGGAGCUGGGACACGGCUCCUGUUUGUUCUGUGCUCAUCCCAUCCAUGCCAAGGAGGAAGCCCCAGCACAGCAGCAUGGCACAGGCAGCCUCCGCUCUCUGCUUCCGUUUCUCUGCAGACCUCAUGCAAGCAGCACUGGUGAGUCACUGCUCUGCCAUAACCUCACAGCAGAACCAUCACCUCCCCGCUGGCCCCAUAAGGAGCCUGUGACCCUGUCCCACCCCAUCCCUUGCUCACCCACUGCCCUGCUCCUAAACCAAGGGCUGGACCCCAAACCUGAUGCGUACCCCCCAUCAGCUUCAAGGAAGCAGACACAGACCCACUGCUGAAGGGUCCCCACUCCAUGGUGGCUUUUGUCCCCAUGCAGAACCCAGGGCAGCUUUGGGGAUGCUGCAGUUCUCAGCUGCUUAUGGCUUGUGGACAGCAGCCACUGUCCGGGUCAGGUCCCUUUCCCUGUGUUUAAUAAUCCCUUGUUCCCAUUCCUGAGCAUUCCUUUAUCCUCCUCCCCAGGCUGCCCUGAUCAUCGGAGCCGUCCUGUGUGCCCCUGAGCAGCACACAGAGUGAGUACCAGCCACAACAGGGGGCUCUUAUGACCUGGGGGGCACAGGCAGUGGGGCUGGCAGGGGGGAUGCUGCUUUCCUCCCCUAUCUCCUGCACAGAUUUACAGCCUCAUGCAGCCGGUUCUGGGCUGGGAUCCGAGUUCCUGUAGCACAAACACACCGAGUGUUCCCUUUCCUUGUGGGACUGAUGCAGACACAACAGGAGCCUGCCCCAGAUCCUGGCUCUGCUGGUUCCUCUCUCAUCCAGCCAUGGGGAUGGGCAGCCUCAUUCCUGCAGGACAUCCCCUUUGGCACCACCCAAUGCUGGCUUUAGGGGCUGUUUUCAUGACACCCCAAGUUAUUCCUACUCACAUCACACAGUGGUCAGGGUGAAGGGGGAUUUCCCAUGGGAAUGAGCAGGUUCAUCCUCUAUGGGGCAUUGGGAGCUAAAGUGAUGGUGAAUGGAACCUUGU
rnacentral:lncRNA from 14 species